UACGUAGGGUGCAAGCGUUGUCCGGAAUUAUUGGGCGUAAAGAGCUCGUAGGCGGUUUGUCGCGUCGAAUGUGAAAACCCGGGGCUCAACCCCGGGCCUGCAUUCGAUACGGGCAGACUAGAGUUCGGUAGGGGGAGUCUGGAAUUCCUGGUGUAGCGGUGAAAUGCGCAGAUAUCAAGGAGGAACACCGGUGGCGAAGGCGGUUCUCUGGGACGGUACUGACGCUGAGACGCGAAAGCGUGGGGAGCGAACAGG
rnacentral:rRNA from 1 species